CAAAUGCGAUAGUUAGUGUGAACUGCAGAUAUUCUGAGCACCAAAAUGUCGAAUGCACAUUGCGCCUUGGGACCUCCAUCCCUAGGCACGCCUGGUUCAGGGUCGUUUCUUCAAACAAAGAGCCGUUCCGCUCUUAGCAUGACCCGGCGCUAGCAGCCAAGCCGCAUGGCAGCUACGUGCCGGGCCUUCAGUGUUCUGUGCUGUGGACAGCUGCCGCUCAGGGGCAACACGGCCGGUCUUGCAAACACUUGUCUCCUUCACGGGGGGCAAUGACCGGUCGUGGGACUCUGCCUAGUGUCGGUGUCUGUCUGCCUCAUUCGUUUUCCGACCUGAACUCAGACGUGAUUACCCGCUGAACUUAA
rnacentral:misc_RNA from 1 species